UCUCUUGUGCUCGGGCACGUACUGUCGCCAGUGAGGUUUUACCGAGGCACAGUCUUUUGCUGAUUGCAAAUUACACAUCCGAACUCGUCUGUUUCCUUUGGGAUUCAGCAAUUUUUGGGACCCAACUCUUAUCUCUAUAGG
rnacentral:snRNA from 1 species